AAGUAAACAACAUUCUGCAAAUUUGGUAGUGUUCAUAACUCUGAGCCAGGAGACCCAGUUCAAGUGUCACCUAUGCCAGAGAUGCAACACAGAUCAAGAAGAAUGGAUAAACUGGAGCAUGGGAGAUCAGCAGAACACAUUCAGUUUUUAAGAUGCGAUGUUAAACUGAGAACGACAUCCAUUUUCACAAGUGAACAUGAAAGAUUCCAUACAACUAUUUCAAAAAAAGUGGAUCCCUGCUGAACAAGAUUCAUCAACAAUACAGCAAUUAAAGAUUAUCUUGGCAUUAUCACUUUGCUGUUUGCGUCAGCUUGCUGUAUUUCUGAUGUUGACUAUGUUUCAUAAAUAUUUUAU